AGGUUCGGGAGAAGGGGGGAGGAAGAAAGAAUUCAGACCCAGACGGGUCAUUCUCGACCCGAAUGGAGUGGACGGGUCAACCCGACUGGUUCUCCGUUUUCCGGCGACGGCGAGGAGAAAGAAUGGUAGCGGCAGCUUCCUCUCGUUCUCGUGGUCAUGCCCAAGCCCUUGAUUUUCAGAUAAGAAGUCUGGAGUGAGAGAUUCGAAGUGGAGAAGGAGAGGCUGGGUUGCCGGCGAGUCUCCGAUUCCGGCAGCGUCGACGCCUCUCACUGGUAUGGAUAGCUUCAUCUCCUCAUCCUCGACAUUCUUGUAUCUUCAGCUUGUCGAGACGAGGUCAGGUGAGGGAGAAUCUAAGAGGAGGAGUUUCUAAGUUUUCCGAUCGUGUUCUUCGUUUUCUGGCGGCGAUUGGUUUCGAUCAAGGCAGUGGAGGACCACCGUCUGUGGCCACUGUUCACGGCGGCGGCGGUAGUUGUAGGAGUUGCUUUCUAGCUUUA